CUACUCGCCUCGGCGGUAAAUAUACUAAAAUUGGAACGAUACACAGAAGAUUGCAUGGCCCCUGAGCAAAGAUGACACGCAAAAUCGUGAUUGUUCCACAUUUUC